UACGAAGGGGGCUAGCGUUGCUCGGAAUCACUGGGCGUAAAGCGCACGUAGGCGGACUCUUAAGUCGGUGGUGAAAUCCUGGAGCUCAACUCCAGAACUGCCUUCGAUACUGGAAGCUCGAGUUCGGGAGAGGUGAGUGGAACUGCGAGUGUAGAGGUGAAAUUCGUAGAUAUUCGCAAGAACACCAGUGGCGAAGGCGGCUCACUG
rnacentral:rRNA from 1 species